GACGAACGCUGGCGGCGUGCUUAACACAUGCAAGUCGAACGGAAAGGCCCUUCGGGGUACUCGAGUGGCGAACGGGUGAGUAACACGUGGGUGAUCUGCCCUGCACUUUGGGAUAAGCCUGGGAAACUGGGUCUAAUACCGAAUAGGACCGCGCGCUUCAUGGUGUGUGGUGGAAAGCUUUUGCGGUGUGGGAUGGGCCCGCGACCUAUCAGCUUGUUGGUGGGGUAAUGGCCUACCAAGGCGACGACGGGUAGCCGGCCUGAGAGGGUGACCGGCCACACUGGGACUGAGAUACGGCCCAGACUCCUACGGGAGGCAGCAGUGGGGAAUAUUGCACAAUGGGCGCAAGCCUGAUGCAGCGACGCCGCGUGAGGGAUGACGGCCUUCGGGUUGUAAACCUCUUUCACCAGGGACGAAGCGCAAGUGACGGUACCUGGAGAAGAAGCACCGGCCAACUACGUG
rnacentral:rRNA from 1 species